rnacentral:rRNA from 1 species
UCCAGACUCCUACGGGAGGCAGCAGUGGGGGAUAUUGCACAAUGGGGGGAACCCUGAUGCAGCGACGCCGCGUGGGUGAAGGAGCGUUUCGGCGCGUAAAGCCCUCUCGGCAGGGAAGAAGGAGGACGGUACCUGACUAAGAAGCCCCGGCUAACUACGUGCCAGCAGCCGCGGUAAUACGUAGGGGGCAAGCGUUAUCCGGAUUUACUGGGUGUAAAGGGGGCGCAGACGGCAGCGCAAGCCAGGAGUGAAAGCCCGGGGCCCAACCCCGGGACUGCUCUUGGAACUGCGCGGCUGGAGUGCAGGAGGGGCAGGCGGAAUUCCUGGUGUAGCGGUGAAAUGCGUAGAUAUCAGGAGGAACACCGGUGGCGAAGGCGGCCUGCUGGACUGCGACUGACGUUGAGGCCCGAAAGCGUGGGGAGCAAACAGGAUUAGAUACCCUCGUAC